rnacentral:rRNA from 1 species
UACCAGACUCCUACGGGAGGCAGCAGUGAGGAAUAUUGGUCAAUGGGCUUACGCCUGAACCAGCCAAGUCGCGUGAGGGAAGACUGCCCUAUGGGUUGUAAACCUCUUUUGUCAGGGAGCAAUUGGCGCUACGUGUAGCGUUAUCGAGAGUACCUGAAGAAAAAGCAUCGGCUAACUCCGUGCCAGCAGCCGCGGUAAUACGUAGGUGGCAAGCGUUGUCCGGAUUUACUGGGUGUAAAGGGCGUGUAGCCGGGUUGACAAGUCAGAUGUGAAAUCCUGCGGCUUAACCGCAGAACUGCAUUUGAAACUGUUGAUCUUGAGUACUGGAGAGGCAGACGGAAUUCCUAGUGUAGCGGUGAAAUGCGUAGAUAUUAGGAGGAACACCAGUGGCGAAGGCGGUCUGCUGGACAGCAACUGACGGUGAGGCGCGAAAGCGUGGGGAGCAAACAGGAUUAGAUACCCGAGUA